rnacentral:rRNA from 3 species
UGUUUGAUGUUCUAACGUGGACCCGUGAUCCGGGUUGCGGACAGUGUCUGGUGGGUAGUUUGACUGGGGCGGUCUCCUCCUAAAGAGUAACGGAGGAGCACGAAGGUUGGCUAAUCCUGGUCGGACAUCAGGAGGUUAGUGCAAUGGCAUAAGCCAGCUUGACUGCGAGCGUGACGGCGCGAGCAGGUGCGAAAGCAGGUCAUAGUGAUCCGGUGGUUCUGAAUGGAAGGGCCAUCGCUCAACGGAUAAAAGGUACUCCGGGGAUAACAGGCUGAUACCGCCCAAGAGUUCAUAUCGACGGCGGUGUUUGGCACCUCGAUGUCGGCUCAUCACAUCCUGGGGCUGAAGUAGGUCCCAAGGGUAUGGCUGUUCGCCAUUUAAAGUGGUACGCGAGCUGGGUUUAGAACGUCGUGAGACAGUUCGGUCCCUAUCUGCCGUGGGCGCUGGAGAACUGAGGGGGGCUGCUCCUAGUACGAGAGGACCGGAGUGGACGCAUCACUGGUGUUCGGGUUGUCAUGCCAAUGGCACUGCCCGGUAGCUAAAUGCGGAAGAGAUAAGUGCUGAAAGCAUCUAAGCACGAAACUUGCCCCGAGAUGAGU